CGGACGGGUGAGUAAUGUCUGGGGAUCUGCCUGAUGGCGGGGGAUAACUACUGGAAACGGUAGCUAAUACCGCAUAAUGUCUGCGGACCAAAGCGGGGGACCUCCGGGCCUCGCGCCAUCAGAUGAACCCAUAUGGGAUUAGCUUGUAGGUAAGGUAACGGCUUACCUAGGCGACGAUCCCUAGCUGGUCUGAGAGGAUGACCAGCCACACUGGAACUGAGACACGGUCCAG
rnacentral:rRNA from 1 species